rnacentral:lncRNA from 1 species
UACCGCGAAAUCUACGCGAGCGUUUUUAUAGACAAAUGCUCGAAGAUUUCUAUCACCAGCUGCCACUUGAAAGUGCGUUUAGCUAGCAAGCCAGCAGUAGUGUCUGCGCUUUCAAGCAUACACUUGAUAAUACGAAGAUAAUGAGACAAAGUGUAAACACAUGAAUGACAGAUUCAAUAUUUCUUGACACUCGUAAAUCUUCAAACCUGCCAGUUGUUCGUUAGUGCGUGAAAAAGUGGAAUUUUGUGAUGUUUAAAAGCAGACAUUGGGUCAUCCAAACGUGGCUUUGCCUAGGCCGUCGCAUUGUAUGAAUGAAUUAUCAAAUGCAUGGGCAUUGGAGCAAUGAGGUGAUGUAGCUGAAAAAUGCACCUUUGUUCUCUUUUCACUUUGCCUCAUGGUAUUCUGUCUCAAGUUUAGCUAUUGUCAAAGCAGCAAUUUCGACUGACACAGCAACGCUCAUCUGAAUGGCAUCUGUCAAUGUCGUCAACUACUCGGACAUUAAUGUCUGGAUACAAAUUGGGUAGAUCUUGUAUGCCAUGCCCAACAUCAGAAUAGCUGGAAUGUACAGACUAAAAAAGCUCGGAAGCGCUUGCACUCUUUGGAGAAUUUUGUAUGAGCAUUUUCAGGCUGUUCUGGUGACACUAAAAAAUACUGGCUCUCCUGUAA